CAGCACCUCAAGUGGUCAGGAUGAUUAUUGGGCCUAAAGCAUCCGUAGCCGGCGCUGUAAGUUUUCGGUUAAAUCUGUACGCUCAACGUACAGGCUGCCGGGAAUACUGCAGAGCUAGGGAGUGGGAGAGGUAGACGGUACUCGGUAGGAAGGGGUAAAAUCCUUUGAUCUAUUGAUGACCACCUGUGGCGAAGGUGGUCUACCAGAACACGUCCGACGGUGAGGGAUGAAAGCUGGGGGAGCAAACCGGAUUAGAGACCCGAGUAGUCC
rnacentral:rRNA from 1 species